AUUGAACGCUGGCGGCAUGCCUUACACAUGCAAGUCGAACGGUAGCAGGUCUUCGGAUGCUGACGAGUGGCGAACGGGUGAGUAAUACAUCGGAACGUGCCCGAUCGUGGGGGAUAACGAAGCGAAAGCUUUGCUAAUACCGCAUAAGAUCUACGGAUGAAAGCAGGGGACCGCAAGGCCUUGCGCGAACGGAGCGGCCGAUGGCAGAUUAGGUGGUUGGUGGGAUAAAAGCUUACCAAGCCGACGAUCUGUAGCUGGUCUGAGAGGACGACCAGCCACACUGGGACUGAGACACGGCCCAGACUCCUACGGGAGGCAGCAGUGGGGAAUUUUGGACAAUGGGCGAAAGCCUGAUCCAGCCAUGCCGCGUGCAGGAUGAAGGCCUUCGGGUUGUAAACUGCUUUUGUACGGAACGAAAAGACUCUUUCUAAUAAAGAGGGUCCAUGACGGUACCGUAAGAAUAAGCACCGGCUAACUACGUGCCAGCCGCCGCAGUAACAC
rnacentral:rRNA from 1 species